CCCCCAACAAGGGCAGAGUUCUGUUAAGGCCCUGGGCUUGCCCUGUGGUGUCAGGGCCAUGACCACCCACCCACACAGGAGCCUGGAGCCUUCCCCCAGUGCCUGCCCUGGCCAGGCCUCCUCUGUAGGUGUGGGUCCCCACAGCUUCAAGCUGUAAGCAGCAAAGUGAAAGAGGGGAAGGAGCGUCCUGAGUGGCGUUCUCAUAGGAGAGUCAUGUCCACCUGGGAAGCAGGGAGAUUUGGGCAAUCAUCCCACUCUUCCAGGAAGACAGCCAAAACCCCCACUGCCCCACAGUGAUGAUUAAAGUGCACAUUUCAACAGGCUUUGUGACAGACACUCCUGGCGGCAAGGUCUGGGAAAAGGAGGCUGCCAGUAAACCCCCUGCUAGCCUUGUUUUCUCUGAACUUCUGGCCCCAGUGGGAAAGGAAAUUAAAACUUCAUUUUUAAUUUUUAGUUAUGACCCAUUGUGCUGCAGGGUCAUGGCCGGGGGUUUAGAACACCUAGCGGUUUCCUGCUCCUCUCCGUGGAUUGGAAAAUGAGGCUUCGUGAGGCCCACCGUCCCGUGUGGCAUCAUCUGUGGGGCUGACAGCACCUGCCCCCUAGGUCGGUUGUCCCACUCCCACUCAGCACAGCCGCCACGCCAGGCUGCUGGGAGUGUCUGAGCUUCAGAACCCUGUUCUGGAGUGAAUGGAACAUACUCGACACCCUUGGAGCCAAGCAACUGAGAUGGACCAUUUUCAAUAGACUUCAGGGCCCUAUCAGAAAAUGCCAUCAAAUGAUUCCCACUGCUUUGGCCUGAAUACCCCCUCACUCAGCCACUCCUUCUGGCUGCGGCCCCUCCAGCUUCUGCUAGCAAAUGUCCCAUAGAGGGUCAAGGGACACUCCUCCUUCUCCCAGGAAGCUGGCACUUGGGUAUGCAACAACCUGCCUUCAAACGCCAGUGGCGGAGAGAUUCUGCAGCCUGAGUUUAGCACCCCAGUAGGCAAAGAGACCUGGGCUGAGAUGCACCCCAUUCCCCAGGCUGAAAAGAGACCACGGAUGGGACUUUUCUUUACCUGGGAAGAACAUACUCAUCACCACAUCAAAGCCCUCCAAAGGCAGAGAGGCCACAUUUUUAUUAGUUCAUGUCUGCUCCAGUGGCAGAUAUAGAGAAACAGUGGGAAGAUGAUGGGGGAAAGCAAGGUUCCAGGAAUGGUCUGGGUGUAUCAGUGAACAGCAGAGUCAUUAUAAAUACAUAAUGUAAUGUAGUCACAGAAAGGAAUUUUUUUUAAAGACAUGAUACACUGGGUGCAUACAAAGAGGCAAACACUGCAGGCUUCGGUGAGAACAAGACGUCCUUUAUUCUGCAGAUCCCAACCUUAGCUCAGCCCCAAAAGAAGACCGCAGACAGUUUGGAGCACCCCAAGUUCAGAGGAACAUUGAGACACUGGAAACCUUCCAGAAAGGAGCCACAAAGCUGAGUUGCAGGCUGCGAGGGCUGAGCAGUGGAGAGAGGGUCAACAGCAUUAAACACUGAGUAAGUGCUGUGGCUGUAAGUCAACCGGGGCAAGAAUGACCUACAAAUAAUCCCAGGGCCUCCCCGAUGAAGAAGGUUUCCAUUCUGCCCAGGAUGGAGACCUGGGCAGCUGUAGACCACACCCAGGCUCAGGGCCAAGGAGCCCAUGAUAUAUUUAUACACUUGCAGCUUCCAGGGCCCGUGGUUGCUGGCCUGCCUGUGCUACGAAUAGCAAGGUCAACUGUCAGGGACAUUGUCCUACAGGGGGUAACAAGCUCCAAAAGAAGCAGCCCCCAGGGACAGGGGAGUGAGCCCAGGUUAGUGUCAGGUGCGUUCCCCCCUCAUUUCACCCCUCCUCACUUCCAGCCCUUCCCCCCUUUCCUGUGCGCUCCUUCCUCCCCCCUACUCCUUGCAAGGACCCUUCUGUUACACCAGCUUCCCUAGUCCAGGAGGACAAUGAGAUGAUGAAGAGGUUUCCCUGAAGGUGCGAGUAGCUCUGAAAAUUCACCUCCGAGAGGGAAGCACCUGUGCAGAUAGUGAAGCCAGUGGACUUGGUGGCUGGGGACGGUCCUGGGCCACUGUCCUCCCCUGUGUGAGCUCCUCGCUUAGCCUGGAGCCACCGCAGCAUCAGGGGCAGAGACCAAGGUCUGCUAUCUUCCGGAACGAGCCGUCUAUCCUCCCCUUCCCACAACCAUCCCAAGCCUAUCUUUCCCUGAAACACACAACCGCUUGCUCUAAAUUUUUAAAAAAAGAUACACAAAGAUGUGAGAGAGUUACCUGCUGUUUUCCAGCUUUGAAAUCAAUGGUCUGAGAGAAAGCAGCUUUCUGGUCCACUAACAGGAUUGUUACUUGGAGCAGCUUAGGGAUGGAUUACUCAUGCCCCAGCUGGGGAACACUCUCAUGAGUCUACUUUAAAAAAAAUAUUACUACUGCAUUGGCUAAAAACAACCAAGGUCCAAUUUUAUAUGAAGUGAUAAAAUCAGCGUAGAGAAAAAUCCAUGAGCCAGCAAACCUGGACGAGAGGUCGUGGAUGACUUACCUGGGAGCCCAGCUUGCAGGGUGGCCGGAAAGCACCCCAUGCUUUGCUGGUGGAACUGGGGGCCACAAAGGGAGGGGAAAGCCAGAACUCUGGGAUCAGAAUCUUCAGAACCUGUGUCUACUCUUCUGCCUUAGAAAGAAGCCUUUAGAAGCAAAAGAAUUAUCUUAUAAUUCAGGCUUGGUCAGGGGCACAGGUCCAUCCCGCGGUGGUCUCCCACCAUGGAAAGGCACAGGAUGGGACGUCGGCUGACCCGAGCCAUGAGUGGGCUGAGGAGGGGAAAGCAGUGCAGCCGGCUUGGGGGCAAGCUGGGGCAUGUGAGUGUGUGUUUCGCAACAUUUCCAGCUACCUCGGUUCCCCCUGGCAUCCUCCUGCCUUCCUGCAGCCCCUGGCCCUCCUUCUUCUACCUGAGCCUUUGUCUUGCAGGCUCUGGGAUGGUGGGGAUCCUCUACACCAGGGUCUCCUGCUCGUCCUUGUACUAAAGCAGCAGCUGGGCAUUGUCAGAAUGGCUGAAGGAGGGACUCAGAGAGGCUGCAGGAGGGAGUCAGGCCUGGGGCGGGUGAGGGCUACUGUCCUAUGAGACCAGGAGAGCAGAUGAAGGACUCCUGAGCCCAGAGAGGACUUGGCCUGCCCAGAGUUACCCAAGAUGCCUGGGGAGGUGAGGCUUGGAGAGCUCAUGGAGUGAGUCCCAAAGACCCCAGCAGAGACAGUGGGCAGAAAGACUCCCGGGCCCUCUCUGUGGGGCUGAUUCACCCACGCGACAGCCACAGGGUGGGGAGGGGCUGGCCACAGCGGAGGGGUGCACUGACCUGAGAGCCCAGUGCUGGGAGGCUGGCUCCGGGCACGUCACCGCCCCCGUCAUGUGCUCUCCUUGUGCCGCCGUCCCAGCAGCGCCCCAUCUCACCAACUCCCACCUUCAUGUGUGGCCGCCCACCUAGAGCCAUGCCUGAAGCCACUGUCCCUGACCACAAAGCUUUUGGCUGAUAGGAAGCAUGACAGCACUGGGGCCCUACACUGGAAGCGGGACCGUCCAGAGAAGAAGACUGCGCACAGGGAUCGGGAGCUGGGACACACGUUAGUCAAGGUGUACGAGGGAGGAAUCACCGCCAUGUGGAGCCACUACUCGGGGAGGACGUGGGCCACCCGGAGCUCAGUGACAGUACUCCCGGGAGUGUACAUCGUUGGUAAUGUCCACGACAGUGUCCCUGCCUGUGACCCAAUAAUUUCCCAUCCAGGGACACACUUCACAGAAAUGCACGCACAGGCACAACAGCAUCGAAUGGGAGAGCUGCACAGAGCCUCUUCAUAGCAUCCCCAAACUGGAAGCAACCCAAACACCUAGCGGACACAAAUGAGUAGAAAAUGAACAAAGGAGCAUUAUAAGCAAUGAAAACAGUGAACCAGAGAGACGCACAUGAGACAGGCUCCAUCUCACAAGCCUGAGGUUUAGGAAGAGAAGCAACCAAGACCCCACGUUGGCCAGGCACGGUGGCUCAUGCCUGUAAUCCCAAUACUUUGGGACGCCAAGGCAGGUGGAUCACCUGAGGUCAGGAGUUCGAGACCAGUCUGACCAAUGUGGUGAAACCCCAUCUCUACUAAAUACAAACAAAUUAGCCAGGUGUGGUAGCACAUGUCUGUAAUUUCAGCUACUUGGGAGACUGAGGCAGGACAAUCGUUUGAAUCCGGGAGGCGGAGGUUGCAGUGAGCUGAGAUUGCACCACUGCGCUCCAGCCUGGGCAAUACGAGCGAAACUCCAUCUAAAAAAAAAAAAAAAAAGCCCAGGCAAUAUGACGCCACUUCCAGAAAACUCUAAGACAGGCACAAGAAAGACCACUACCCUGUAUGGUUUAGGGGUUACAUCUAGGCGGCAAAGCAAACAUCUACAGAGAAGGGAGACAAAGAUGCGACUGGGAAUGGCCCAUGGCAGCUGCCUUCCUGGGGCGGGACACAGUUCUGGGGGGGUUCAUAAGGUCUCAUUUCCCAUAUCUCGGGUGGUUUCACUCAGCCAUUCAUACACAGGAAAAACAUAACAAGAAAUGUGUAGACCUUUAGGAUGAAACUUCAAAAUGCUCCUGAAGAACACAGGGUACAG
rnacentral:lncRNA from 1 species